rnacentral:rRNA from 1 species
AUUGAACGCUGGCGGCAGGCCUAACACAUGCAAGUCGAGCGGAUGAGGGUAGCUUGCUUCCCGAUUUAGCGGCGGACGGGUGAGUAAUGCCUAUGAAUCUGCCUAUUAGUGGGGGAUAACGUUCCGAAAGGAACGCUAAUACUGCAUACGUCCUACGGGUGCAAGUGGGGGAUCUUCGGACAUUACGCUAAUAGAUGAGCCUAGGUCGGAUUAGCUAGUUGGUGCAGUAACGGCUAACCAAGGCGACGCUCCGUAGCUGGUCUGAGAGGAUGAUCAGCCACACUGAAACUGAGACACGGUCCAGACUCCUACGGGAGGCAGCAGUGGGGAAUAUUGGACAAUGGGCGAAAGCCUGAUCCAGCCAUGCCGCGUGUGUGAAGAAGGUCUUCGGAUUGUAAAGCACUUUAAGUUGGGAGGAAGAGUUGUAAGCUAAUAUCUUGCAGCUUUGACGUUACCAACAGAAUAAGCACCGGCUAACUCUGUGCCAGCCGCCGCGGUAAGAC